rnacentral:tRNA from 1 species
UGCGGACGUGGCGGAAUUGGUAGACGCGCUAGAUUUAGGUUCUAGUGUCCUAGACGUGAGAGUUCGAGUCUCUCCGUCCGCAU